AAGAGGUCAGUUCAAGCGCUGAGCUCGGUCAUACAAUACGAAGCCGAUCAAAAACGUACAGAGUUUCCAGGAGGGCGGUCGUGUUACGAUCAAAGAGAAAGAGAGAGAGAACCUUUCUUCCCCACGGUUUAACACAUACAAAUUUCUUGAUUUGUACGACGGUAUACUGGAUUUCAACGCGCGUCACGAGAGAAACGUUAUUCGUAAUAGAAUAAUGUCGCGUCGUGUGAUUUGACAGUGAAGGAAACAAUCGAAUGGGAAAAGUGCCUCGACAUUCAGUGGGACGAGAAAGAAGACAAGGACGUCGGUGUGCGAAAGAAAGAGAACGAAAGAGAUAGAGAGAGAGAGAGAAAAGAGGAAAAUAGGAAAGAAGAAGGAAGAAGGAAAAAGGAAAAAGAGAUAAGCUCGUGACCGAGCUCGAAGAGAUGACGGGGGAGGAGGGGAAAGGUGGCGGUGGCGCCGGUGGGAAUACGAACGUUAAUGCGACCGAUAAUGUGAACAAUGUUAACGCUAACAUCAAUGCAAAUGUCAAUGUCAACAUCAACGCGAACACGAAUGUCGUUCACCAAAAUGGCGGAACUGAGAAGGCGCCGGUUGUCGGUGGUACCAACGUUGAGACAUUGCCGCGUGCUGGAAAACAGAGCGAUCCAAGCACGUCAUUUUUGAGAGCAGCUCGUGCAGGCCAACUCGAAAAGGUUUUGGAAUAUCUUGAAUCGGGCGUGGACAUUAACGCAUCGAAUGCUAACGGACUGAAUGCUUUGCACCUGGCAGCUAAGGAUGGCCACUUGGAAAUCGUACGAGAACUUCUUAAUCGUGGCGCAGUAGUCGAUGCUGCUACUAAAAAGGGAAACACCGCAUUGCACAUUGCUUCUCUUGCUGGACAAGAGGAGGUUGUACAAUUGCUCGUUCUACAAGGUGCUUCUGUCAACGCACAGUCACAAAAUGGGUUCACACCACUAUAUAUGGCCGCUCAGGAAAAUCAUGACUCUGUGGUCAAGUACCUCCUCAAUAAGGGUGCAAAUCAAACCCUCACUACGGAGGAUGGGUUCACUCCAUUGGCGGUGGCCAUGCAACAGGGUCACGAUAAAGUAGUUGCCGUUCUAUUGGAAAAUGAUACUCGCGGUAAAGUUCGAUUACCUGCCCUCCACAUCGCAGCUAAGAAGGAUGAUUGUAAUGCGGCUGCCCUACUUUUACAAAACGACCAUAAUCCCGAUGUAACUUCGAAAAGCGGUUUUACGCCACUUCACAUAGCCGCGCAUUAUGGCAACGAUCGAAUUGCUUCUUUACUUUAUGACAGAGGCGCGGAUGUUAAUUUUGUUGCUAAACACAAUAUUACACCGAUUCAUGUAGCUGCAAAAUGGGGUAAAAUAAAAAUGGUAAGUCAUCUGAUGAAUAAAGGAGCAAAUAUCGAAGCUAAAACGAGAGAUGGCCUUACACCUCUUCAUUGUGCAGCAAGAUCAGGUCAUCAUGAAGUUGUUGAUAUUCUUAUUGAAAAGGGAGCACCCAUUGGGUCUAAGACAAAGAAUGGUCUCGCACCAUUACACAUGGCUGCUCAAGGAGAUCACGUAGACGCAGCAAGGGUUCUACUUUAUCAUCGUGCACCUGUGGACGAAGUAACAGUAGACUAUUUAACAGCAUUGCAUGUAGCAGCUCAUUGUGGUCACGUAAGAGUGGCCAAACUUUUACUCGAUAGAAAUGCGGAUCCUAAUGCACGUGCACUCAAUGGUUUCACACCUCUUCAUAUCGCGUGUAAGAAGAACAGAAUCAAAGUAGUUGAACUUCUUUUAAAACACAAAGCUAGUAUCGAAGCCACUACGGAGUCCGGAUUAACUCCGCUGCAUGUAGCAAGUUUUAUGGGAUGUAUGAACAUCGUCAUUUACUUGCUGCAACACGAAGCUAGUCCAGACAUACCGACAGUAAGAGGCGAGACGCCGUUACAUUUAGCUGCUAGAGCAAACCAGACUGAUAUUAUCAGGAUACUUCUUAGGAAUGGUGCUCAAGUUGACGCUAGAGCAAGGGAGGAACAAACACCACUCCACGUUGCUUCCCGUUUAGGUAACGUUGAUAUCGUAAUGUUGCUAUUACAACACGGUGCUGGAGUUGAUGCAACAACAAAAGAUUUGUACACUCCACUUCAUAUCGCUGCUAAGGAAGGUCAAGAAGAGGUUGCUUCAGUUUUAUUAGAAAACGGCGCAUCGCUUACUGCUACGACUAAAAAAGGUUUUACGCCAUUGCAUUUGGCAGCUAAAUACGGCAAUAUGAACGUGGCAAGAUUGUUAUUACAAAAGAAUGCACCGGUUGAUGCUCAAGGAAAGAAUGGAGUAACUCCUCUUCACGUAGCAUCGCAUUACGAUCAUCAGAAUGUAGCAUUGCUCCUAUUAGACAAGGGUGCUUCGCCACAUGCUAUGGCUAAAAAUGGUCAUACACCUUUACAUAUUGCUGCACGAAAAAAUCAGAUGGACAUUGCAACAACAUUACUGGAAUAUGGUGCAAAAGCUAAUGCAGAAUCAAAAGCUGGAUUUACGCCGCUACAUUUAAGUGCACAAGAAGGACACACUGAUAUGUCAACUUUACUUAUCGAACACAAGGCAGACACAAAUCAUAAGGCGAAGAAUGGUCUUACGCCGUUACAUUUAUGCGCACAAGAGGAUAAGGUCAACGUUGCUUCUAUCCUCGUAAAGAAUGGUGCUCAGAUCGAUGUUAAAACAAAGGCUGGUUACACGCCAUUGCACGUUGCAGCUCAUUUUGGACAAUCAGCAAUGGUGCGAUUCCUUUUGCGCUCCGGUGCAACUGUUGAUAACAGUACCAAUGCUGGUUACACGCCGUUACACCAAGCUGCUCAGCAGGGACACACGCUGGUUAUUAAUUUACUAUUAGAAAGUAAAGCUAAGCCAAAUGCUGUAACCAAUAAUGGGCAAACUGCUUUGGAUAUUGCACAAAAACUUGGCUAUAUCAGCGUCAUUGAGACAUUAAAGGUUGUAACUGAAACUAUUAUUACCACAACACAUACUAUCACUAUUGAAGAAAAAUAUAGAGUACAAGCACCCGAAUCUAUGCAAGAAACAUUCAUGAGUGACAGUGAAGAUGAAGGCGGUGGUGAUGAAAUCGGCAUGGCAGCCAUGAAUGUGUACGGGCAGCCUCCACACGCGCAACACGUGUACCUUCCUUCUUACUACAAGGGCCAAAUGACCUAUACCCGUGAAGAUCCGAUGCUCAGCGACCAACAUCAAUACCGUUACAUGACUGUUGAUGAUAUGAAAUCUAUGGGAGACGAUUCUAUGCGCGUUAAUGUUACCGAUGACGAAAGAGAUAAUCGACAUGCUGGAGCUCCCACGAUAACAGAAAUGAUCACCAAGGAAAACUAUCAACGUUCUAAUGCCGCAAUUCUAAAACCGGACAAUAUAGAUAUCAAUAGGCAUCCGGUUCACGUUGGAAUCCCACAAUGGAGAAACUUCCUGGUUUCUUUCCUGGUCGACGCGAGGGGUGGUGCAAUGAGGGGAUGUAGACACAGCGGAGUUCGCGUUAUCGUGCCCCCACGUAAAGCAGCAAUGCCGAUGAGAGUAACCUGCAGAUAUCUAAGGAGAGAUAAAUUGACCAAUCCGCCUCCCUUAAUGGAAGGCGAGGCUUUGGCCAGUCGUAUUUUAGAACUUGGGCCAGUCGGUGCGAAAUUUUUAGGACCCGUCAUCAUCGAAGUACCACAUUUUGCAUCAUUAAGAGGGAAGGAACGAGAAAUAGUUAUCUUGCGUUCGGACAACGGAGAAACUUGGCGCGAACAUACCCUGGAGGCUAGCGAGGAGGCUGUACAGGAUGUUCUUAACGAGAGCUUUGAAGGAGAAGAAUUAAGCCAGCUAGAGGAUCUUCAAACGUCGCGUAUCGUAAGGAUACUUACCGCUGAUUUUCCACAUUAUUUCGCGGUUGUCUCUCGCAUCAGGCAAGAAGUACACGCUGUUGGACCGGAAGGUGGUACCGUAUCAUCAUCGGCUGUUCCUCAGGUUCAAGCUGUAUUCCCACCUGCAGCUUUGACCAAGAAGAUUAGAGUUGGCUUACAGGCCCAUCCGAUACCAGCUGAACUAGUAGCUAAACUACUAGGUAAUCGAGUCGCAGUAUCGCCCAUAGUUACGGUAGAACCACGACGACGAAAGUUCCAUAAGCCGAUAACUUUGACCAUACCAGUUCCACAAGCAGCUAAUAAAGGCAUGAUUAACCAAUACUCGGGGGAUGCACCGACCCUAAGGCUCCUGUGCAGCAUAACUGGAAAAUCGAUACUGAAGGGUCGAGGAAGAUCUUGUCUAUCGAGUCGUUCAGGGGGUCAGUCUCGGGCAGUCUGGGAGGAUGUCACAGGUUCGACGCCGUUGACUUUCGUCAAGGAUUGUGUCUCUUUUACAACCACGGUAUCUGCUCGUUUUUGGCUAAUGGACUGCCGAAAUAUUUCGGAAGCAACCAAAAUGGCUACAGAACUAUAUACCCAUGCUACUCAUGUACCAUUUAUGGCUAAAUUCGUAGUAUUCGCCAAACGUAUAGAUCCUUUGGAGGCCAGGAUACGCGUAUUUUGUAUGACCGAUGACAAAGAGGAUAAAACUCUUGAACAUCAAGAACAUUUUACCGAAGUUGCGAAGAGUAGAGAUGUUGAAGUGUUAGAAGGCAAAACUCAAUACAUGGAAUUUACGGGUAAUCUCGUACCAGUAUUAAAAAGCGGCGAACAACUUCAAUUACCAUUCAGAGCGUUUAAAGAAAAUAGAGUACCGUUUACUGCGCGGAUAAAAGAUCCAGAUGCGGUAGAUAUGAUGGGUCGAAUAAUGUUUAUGAGUGAGCCUAAGGUUCCUAAAGGCGAGGUACCGCAAACGCCAAUAUGUACAUUGAAUAUUUUAUUACCUGAAAAGAUUUCGCCAGAACCUGCAGUCUCAGAAUUGGAUUUACUUGAAUUAUCGAAAAAUUAUAGUUUUCUACGAGACGGUGGAAUCAGUCGACCGGAUGCUAUACAUAGAGCAACCAUACGUUUAAGGGAUAUAGCAAAUUUACUAGGCAAGGACUGGGAACCAUUAGCAGAAGAACUUAACAUUGCUCCGAACGAUGUAUCCUUGAUAAAACAGAAUUAUCCUGAUAAGCCAGCUCAACAAGCGGCAGCGAUGUUCAAACUCUGGCAAAGUAAUGGGAAUAAGGCGACGGGUAAUACUUUAGAAAAGGCACUCCAGAAGAUUGGCCGAGAAGAUAUUGUAAAAAAAUGUAUAUUUAACGUAGAACUUAUAACUGACGAUGUCGAAAAAGCAGUAGCAAGGGUUCGGUUAGAUCAGCCAGGUUUCGACUCCUUGAAAGAGGAGUUGGGACCCUCCAGAGACACAUCUCUUCGACGUGAUGCAACCAUGGAUCCAAAAAUGGAUCCUGAUUAUGAGGAACCAGAUAGAAUGAAGGAAUCUGAAUCCGUAGAAGAGCUUAGUAACACCAGUCAUUUGCAGGAUAAACGAUCCAAGCAGCAUGUCACAAUCGCUAAUGGCACUGUAUUCAACGGAACCUCGACCCCCAUCAAAGAUAAAUAUGCAAGCGAUGAAAAAGAAUUGGGAGAUGUGAUGGCCGAUUUCUUAGAACAUAAAUGUCACAUUACCGACACGAUGAGUAAAAAGUCACGCGACGAGCUCGACGACGAAGAAAUUAAACGACAAAGGGUGAUUGCCGACGCUAAUAAAAUAGUUUCUGGUGUAAUAGCUGAUGCAGAGAAAGAAAAGGAGAAGUUAGCGAAGGAAGGGUGGUCGGUGGUUUAUGAUGAUAUGCGGGACAGUGAGAAGGUGAGAGGUGCUGUAGGGCAAACAUCAAUUAACAAAGAGAUAGUUCAAAGUUCAGAUCUAUUUAGGGAUGCUGAGUUAGGUAUUAUUCUACAACCAAAAGUUAGAGACGACAUAGAACCACUUAUAAUCAAACAAGAACGAGCACACGGUGGGAAAAGGGAUCCUAAAAAGCAAAUUCCUAUCCCAAAACAAGCGGGCAUUUUAAAGAAGGAUACAGUAGUAGAACAACCAGUUGUUAGACAGAUUACCGUUAUAAAAGAUAUCAAACCCCCGAUAGUUACAGUAACUUCCACAGAUUCUGUCAUCUUACCUCAUAGUAAAGCAGAAGUUAGCGAAAAGGAGAAGAUGUCCAAGGAAGGUAAAGAAGUUGAUGAAAAGUUGUCGCUAGGUGAUAUCAAAGGGGCAUCGCAACCUGCGAAAGAUACCGAUAUUAAAAUUAAAACGACAGAAGUGAAAACCAAAAUCGAAACUGAUGUUCCGAUUAAAAGUAAAGUGGAACAAGAUGGAAAAUCAAUUACCGAUAAACGUCAAUCCGCGUAUAAGGAUGUAUACGAUGCACAAUAUCCUACAAAGAAUCUCGAAGAAGAAACAACAGAUACGUCGACAAAGGUGAAGGAUAAAAGCGGUGGUAUAUUUUCGGGUAUUUUUAAAAGUCCCAAAUUGAAAAAAGGAAAAUCCAAAGAUUCGAAAGAGACGUCUUUUGAUAGCGGGGAUGAGGAAAACAAAACUCUCCCGGUAUCUGAGACAGUAUCAAAACCUGUAACUACACCUCACGAUAAAACAUCUCCAUCAAAGAAAGAGACAGUAACUGUCUUAUCUGACAUCAAACUAACAACUAUAAAUUUAUUGGAAGAUGCUAAAAAUACUGCUGCUAUCUUACAUGCAUUACCAGAAUCAACCGAAAAAAAUGGAUCAGUAACAGUUCCCGUAGAAGAUAAAAAGGACAAAUCGUCAAUCGAAGUUCGUACUAAGCCACAAGUAGUGUCAGGAGUUAAAGAAAAAAUUACGACUGUAGGAACGAAAAAAGAACAGGUUAAUGGAACGUCAACGAUGAAACCAGAUCAGACAAUAGAUUCUGUUGAUGGAAUAGGUAAAAAGAUCGAGCGAGAAGAUAACAAAAAUCUCGAAAUAACGUCAAAGAGUAGUCCGAUUAAACAGGAAAAUAUUCCUAAAUCCGACACUAAGGAAUCACCGAAGAAAGAAGAUAAAGAUGAUAGCGAGACAGGUACGACUGGUAAAGAACGCGGUGGUAUAUUCGGUAUAUUUAGAAGUCCGAAAUUGAAAGAUAAAAAAACAAGUAAAGUAGUAAAAGAUUCGUCGGUUGAUUAUAGCGACGAGGAGCUUAAAUCUACGACUGAAAAAUUCCUCGAGGAAACGCGUAAAGUUGCUGACGAGGAUGCUAUUUAUACGAGUUACAAGACGGAUGAUAAAAAACCUAUUGCAACAAGUCCAGUAGCUACUUUCAGUGCUCCUACUUACGAUAGCUUUGAUGUACCGGUAGACAAAGUUAGUAGACAUUCGUACGAUGUAACGGAUAAAUUUACACCUGAACAAACUUUAUCGCCAGAUAAAAAAACUGAUAAAGAAACUACAGAAGAGAGCAAGGAGAAAGGUAACUUCUUUGGUAUAUUUAAAAGUCCUAAACUUAAGUCUAAAAAGAGAUCGAGAGAUCGUAGCACUUCGAAGGAGAGAUCGUUUGAAAGCACAGAUGAAGAUUCUUAUAAUGCAGACGUCAAAACUAUGGAACGGUCGAGCAAACCAUCGAUCCAAAAGGAAGAAGAGAGCCAGGAAUCUGGAUCAGGAGAUGAAGGUAGCAAAGAGAAAAGUGGUGGAAUUUUUGGAAUGUUCAGAAGUCCCAGAUUGCAACGUGGCUCCCGAAGUAAAUCCAAAGAAAAAAGUUUGCCACCUGAAGUACCGCAAAGUGAUUUCAAAGAAACAACAGCCAAGUUUUUGGAAGAUACGCGAAAUACCGCUGGGCUUAUCAGUGGUUAUCAACAAUCGCAUAUAAUUUCACCACAAAGUCAAGAUGAUAAGACUAAAGAACAAACUCCACCAAUCGAAAAGGUACCUAGUGAUAAAGCAGAUACCACAGCUCAAAAAGUUGUUAACGGUAUAAAGGAUGUAAAAGAUGCUGCAGCAAAAGAACUGAAAGAAGAUACUAAAGCUGUUAAAGAUGCGCUUACUGCUGGUGCUGGUGCUGUUGUGGAUGGUGCACAAUCAGCGAAAGAUAAAGUUGCAAAAGAAAGCAAAAAGGCAAAGGACAAAACAUCGGGAUUUUUCUCGGGUAUUUUCAAGGGAACUAAGCAAACGGUUGAAGACGUAUCCGAUGAUGUUAAAGAUUUCGUAGAAGAAACGAAAACCGAGGUAGCGGAGAAAGAGGCUGGUGCAAAAGAAGCAGCUGCACAAGCUGUAAAAGCUACCGAUGAUGCAAAGGAUAAACUUGUGGCUGGCGUUAAAGAUCUGAAAGAUAAGACAGUAGCAAAAGUAGACGAUGCAAAGGAGAAAACAACUGCUGGUGUAAAAGAUACUAAAGAUAAGACUGUUGCAGUGACACAGGAGACCAAGGAAAAACUAGUGACCAUCACAAAAGAUACGAGAGACAAAACAGUAACUGGAGCACAGGAUGUCUCCGAGAAAGUAGUAGCUGGAGUAAAGGAUGUAAAAGACAAAACAGAGAAAGAAGUCAAAGACCUCACCAAGAAAACAGCAGCUGGUGUAAAAGAUGUUGAAGAUAAAAGUGCUUCAGUUGUUGCAGAAGUAAAAGACAAAAUUGUUUCUAGUGGAAAGACAGCCGCUGAUAAAAUAGAAACCACAGCUCGCGGAGUUUCGGAUAGUGCAAAAGACGCAAAAGAUGCUGCAGCAAAAGAACUAAAAGAAGAUGCUAAAGCUGUAAAGGGAGUAGUUACCACAGGUGCUGGAGCUGUUGUGGAUGCCACUCAAUCGGGAAAAGAUAAGGCUGCAAAAGAAACGAAGAAAGCUAAAGAAAAAACGUCUGGAUUCUUCUCGGGAAUAUUCAAAGGAGCCAAACAUGCGGUAGAAGAUGUCUCUGGUGAUUUCAAAGAAUUUUUAGAUGAAACUAAAGCAGAAGCUGCUGAAGAAGAGGCACGUGCAAAAGAAGCAGCUACUAAAGCUGCAAAAUCUGUAGAUGAUGCUAAGGAUAAAGCCAAGACUGAAGUUAAAGAUCUAAAAGAUAAAACAGUAGAAAAAGUGCAAGAUGCGAAAGAAAAAACAGUAGCUGGUGUUAAAGAUGCAAAAGAUAAAACUGUAACUACAACGCAAGAUAUCAAAGAGAAAAUUGUGACCAGUGUUACAGAUGCUACAGGAAAAGCAGCAAGUAAAGCGAGUGACGUUACGGAAAAAGUAGCAACUGGUGCAAAGGAUGUAAAAGAUAAAUCAAAGGAAAAAGUAAAGGAUGUGACGGAGAAAACAGUAGAAGUAAUAAAAGAUGGAAAAGAAAAAACAGCUGCUGCAGCUACAGAUGCAGGGGAAAAAAUAAUCUCUGGUGGAAAAGCAGCUGCUGCUAAGGUAGAAACUGCAGCACACGAAGUUGCUGAUGGUGCCAAACACGCAAAAGAUGCAGCAGCAAAAGAAUUGAAAGAAGAUGCUGAAGCUGUGAAAGGUGCAAUAAGCACUGGCGCUGAUACUCUUGUGGACACAGCUAAAUCAGCUAAAGAUAAAACUGCGAAAGAAGCUAAAAAAGCUAAAGACAAGACAUCUGGAUUUUUCUCGGGUAUUUUUAAAGGAGCCAAGCACUCAGCUGAAGAUGUUUCUGCAGAUGUUAAAGAGUUUUUGGAUAAGACGAAAGCCGAAGCUGCAGAAGAAGAGGCUCGUGCUAAAGAAGAUGCUGCGAAAGCUGCUAAAGCUUUAGCAGAAGCAAAAGACAAGACAAUAGCUAGUGCUCAAGAUGCUAAAGAAAAAACAGUAGCCACUGUUAAAGAUGCGAAAGAAAAAACUGUUGCUGGUGUUAAAGAUGCAAAAGAUAAAACUGUAAAGACAACGCAAGAUAUCAAAGAGAAAAUUGUGACCAGUGUUACAGAUGCUACAGGAAAAGCAGCAAGUAAAGCAAGUGACGUUACGGAAAAAGUAGCAACUGGUGCAAAGGAUGUAAAAGAUAAAUCAAAGGAAAAAGUAAAGGAUGUGACGGAGAAAACAGUAGAAGUAAUCAAAGAUGGAAAAGAAAAAACAGCUGCUGCAGCUACGGUUGCAGGCGAAAAAAUUAUUUCUGGUGGGAAAGCAGCUGCUGUUAAAGUAGAAACUGCAGCACACGAUGUUGCUGAUGGUGCUAAACAUGCGAAAGAUGCAGCAGCAAAAGAAUUGAAAGAAGAUGCCGCAGCUGUGAAAGGUACAAUUUCCACUGGUGUUGAUACUGUUGUAGACGCUGCCCAGUCGGCGAAAGACAAAUCUGAGAAAGAAGUUAAAAAAGCUAAAGAUAAAACAUCUGGAUUUUUCUCAAGUAUUUUCUGGGGAUCGAAGAGCUCGGUUGAUGAUGCUUCCGAUGAUGUUCAACAGUUUUUGGAUAAGACUAAAGAUGAAGCCGAAGAAGAAAAAGCACGUGCGAAAGAAGCUGCGUCACGUGCCGCAAAAUCCGUCGAUGAUGUAAAGGACAAGGCUGUUGCAGGAAUUAAAGAUAUAAAAGAUAAAACAGUCGAAGGAGUACAAGAUGCGAAGGAAAAAACUGUAGCUAGUGUUAAAGAUGCAAAAGAUAAAACUGUAACGACAACCCAAGAUAUCAAAGAGAAAAUUGUGACCAGUGUUACAGAUGCUACAGGAAAAGCAGCAAGUAAAGCGAGUGACGUUACGGAAAAAGUAGCAACUGGUGCAAAGGAUGUAAAAGAUAAAUCUAAGGAAAAAGUAAAGGAUAUGACGGAGAAAACAGUAGAAGUCAUUAAAGAUGGAAAAGAAAAAACAGCAGCAGUAGCUACGGAUGCAGGAGAAAAAAUAAUCUCUGGUGGAAAAGCAGCUGCUGUUAAGGUAGAAACUGCAGCACACGGUGUUGCUGAUGGUGCCAAACAUGCGAAAGAUGCAGUAGCAAAAGAAUUAAAAGAAGACGCCGAAGUUAUGAAAGGUGCAAUAAGCACUGGCGCUGAUACUCUUGUGGACACAGCUAAAUCAGCUAAAGAUAAAACUGCGAAAGAAGCUAAAAAAGCUAAAGAUAAGACAUCUGGAUUUUUCUCGGGUAUUUUUAAAGGAUCGAAGCACUCAGCUGAAGAUGUUUCUGCAGAUGUUAAGGAAUUUUUGGACAAGACAAAAGCCGAAGCUGCAGAAGAAGAGGCACGUGCUAAAGAAGAUGCUGCGAAAGCUGCUAAAGCUUUAGCAGAAGCAAAAGACAAGACAAUUGCUGGACUUCAAGAUGCUAAAGAGAAGACAGUAACCACUGUUAAAGAUGCAAAAGACAAAACAGUAGCUGCGACGCAAGACAUCAAAGAGAAAGUAGUGUCGGGCACUAAAGAUGCUAAAGACGAAGUCAAAAGUAAAGCACAUGAUUUAACGGAUAAAGCAGUAACUGGUGUAAAAGAUGUUAAAGAUAAAACAGUCGAAGGAGUAUCACAUAUUGCUGAGAAAACUACGGAUGGUGUAAAAGAUAUAAAAACUAAAGCAGCUUCUGCAAUUACAGCAACAGGAGACGGUAUUACUUCAGGUGGGAAAAAAGUUGCAGAUAAAAUAAAAACGACAACUGACAGUGUAACAGAGACUACAAAGGAUGCAAAAGAUGCUGCAGCGAAGGAAAUUAAAAAAGAUGCUGAAAUCGUUAAAGGUGCUGCAAUUUCUGGAGCUGAUGCUGUUGUAGACAGUGCUCAAUCAGCAAAAGAUAAGGCUGCAAAAGAAACCAAAAAAGCUAAAGAAAAAACGUCUGGAUUUUUAUCUGGAAUAUUCAAAGGUGCUAAGCACGCUGUUGACGAUGCUUCUGAAAAUGUGAAAGAAUUUAUUGAAGAUACAAAAGCCGAAGCAGAUGAAGAAAAAGAACGUGGAAAGAAAGCUGCUUCAGAAGCUACUAAAUCUGCAACUGAUACGAAAGAUAAGAUCGCAGAUGAGUUUAAAGAUCUGAAAGAUAAAACAGUAACAGGAGUACACGAUGCUAAAGAGAAGACAGUAGACACUCUUAAAGAUGCAAAGGAUAAAACAGUAGCUACAACUUUAGAUGUCAAAGAUAAAGUAGUUUCUGGAGCUAAAGAUGUUAAAGACAAAGCAGUAAGUAAAGUACAUGACAUCACGCAUGAGGCAGCAAUUGAUAUGAGGGAUGCAAAAGAAAAGACAAUUGAGGGUGUAAAAGAUGUAACGGAUAAAACAGCGACCGGUAUAAAAGACGUCAAAGAUAAAACUGUUAAAGCAGCAACAGUAGCUGGAGACACAAUUGUAUCUAGCGGUAAAAAAGUUACCGAAAAAGUAGAAACUACAACUCACGGAAUUUCGGAAAAAGCAAAAGAUGCGAAAGAUGCAGUAGCGAAAGAAUUGAAAGAAGAUGCCGAAGCUGUGAAAGGUGCAAUAAGCACUGGCGCAGAUACUCUUGUGGACACAGCUAAAUCAGCUAAAGAUAAAACUGCGAAAGAAGCUAAAAAAGCUAAAGACAAGACAUCUGGAUUUUUCUCGGGUAUUUUUAAAGGAGCGAAGCACUCAGCUGAAGAUGUUUCCGCAGAUGUUAAGGAGUUUUUGGAUAAGACGAAAGCUGAAGCUGCAGAAGAAGAGGCACGUGCUAAAGAAGAUGCUGCACGAGCUGCUAAAGCUUUAGCAGAAGCAAAAGACAAGACAAUAGCUGGUGCUCAAGAUGCUAAAGAAAAGACAGUAGCUGCUGUUAAAGACGUAAAAGACAAAACAGUAGCUGCGACGCAAGACAUCAAAGAUAAAGUAGUGUCGAGCACUAAAGAUGCUAAAGACAAAGCAGUAAGUAAAGCAAGUGAUGUUACACAUGCAGCAGUUACUGACGUGAAGGAAGCAAAAGGAAAGACAAUUGAAGCAGUACAAGAUGUUACAGAAAAAACAACUGCAGGCAUGAAGGAUAUCAAAGAUAAAUCUACUCUUGCAGCAACAGAAGUAAAAGAUAAAAUAAUUUCUGGUACAAAAACGACUGCUGAUAAAGUUGAUAAAGCAGCAGAAAAGGUUGCAGAUGAUGCUAAAGAUGCUAAGGAUGGUCUAGAAAAAGAAUUGAAAAAAGAUGCAGAAGUCUUAAAGGGUGCUAUUAUUACUGGUGCUGAUACUGUUAUAGACGGUGCUCAAUCAACAACGGAUAAGGCCGCAAAAGAAACGAAGAAAUCGAAAGACAAGGCAACUGGCUUCUUCUCGGGUAUUCUAAAGGGAGCUAAGCACGCAGUAGAAGAUGUCUCUAGUGAUUUCAAAGAAUUUUUAGAUGAAACUAAAGCCGAAGCUGCCGAAGAAGAGGCACGUGCAAAAGAAGCAGCUGCUAAAGCUGCAAAAUCUGUAGAUGAUGCUAAGGAUAAAGUCAAGACUGAAGUUAAAGAUCUAAAAGAUAAAACAGUAGAAAAAGUGCAAGAUGCGAAAGAAAAAACAGUAGCUGGUGUUAAAGAUGCAAAAGAUAAAACUGUAACUACAACGCAUGAUAUCAAAGAGAAAAUUGUGACCACUGUUACUGAUGCUACAGGAAAAGCAGCAAGUAAAGCGAGUGACGUUACGGAAAAAGUAGCAACUGGUGCAAAGGAUGUAAAAGAUAAAUCAAAGGAAAAAGUAAAGGAUAUGACGGAGAAAACAGUAGAAGUCAUUAAAGAUGGAAAAGAAAAAACAGCAGCAGUAGUUACGGAUGCAGGAGAAAAAAUAAUCUCUGGUGGAAAAACAGCUGCUGUUAAGGUAGAAACUGCAUCACACGGAGUUGCUGAUGGUGCCAAACAUGCGAAAGAUGCAGUAGCAAAAGAAUUAAAAGAAGACGCCGAAGUUAUGAAAGGUGCAAUAAGCACUGGCGCUGAUACUCUUGUGGACACAGCCAAAUCAGCUAAAGAUAAAACUGCGAAAGAAGCUAAAAAAGCUAAAGACAAGACGUCAGGAUUUUUCUCGGGUAUCUUUAAGGGAGCUAAGCACACAGUUGACGACGCUUCUGAUGAUGUUCAAGAGUUCUUAAACAAAACAAAAGCUGAAGCGGAAGAAGAAAAAGCACGUGCUAAAGAAACUGCUUCUAGUGCUGCUAAAUUUAUAGAAGAUGCGAAAGAAAAGACUGCAGCUGGGUUACAAGAUGGUAAAGAUAAAACAAUAGCCGCUGUUAAAGAUUCGAAAGAUAAAACUAUUGCUACCGCGAAAGACGUCAAAGAGAAGAUUGUAUCUGAUACUAAAGAUGUCGGUAACAAAGCUGUAAGUGGAGUGCAAGAUAUCACCGGUAAAGUGGUAUCCGAUGUAAAAAGUACAAAGGAUAUAACAAUUGAAGGAGUCCAUGGUCUUACGGAAAAAGUAGCGACUGAAUUGAAGGAUGUCAAGGAUAAAGUCUCUGUAACAGUUGCAGAUGCAGGAGAUAAAAUUAAGUCUAGAGAAAAGAAAGCAGCUGAUAAAGUAGAAACUGCAGUUUAUGAAGUGGCGGAUGGAACGAAGCGUGCGAAGGAUGCUGUAGCGAAAGAACUGAAAGAAGAUGCCGAAGCUGUAAAAGACUCAUUUGCCUCCGCUACUGGUGCUGUAGCGAGUGAUGCACAAUCAGCAAAAGAUAAAGCUGCAAAAGAAACCAAAAAAGCGAAAGAUAAAACAUCUGGAUUCUUUUCGGGCAUAAUUAAAGGAGCUAAACACGCUGUUGAAGAAGUUUCGGAAGACGUUAAAGAAUUUUUGGCAGAGACGAAAGUCGAAGCUGCUGAAGAAGAGGAGCGUGCGAAAGAAGAAGCAUUACGUACUGCAAAAUCUUUAGAAGAUACGAAAAAUAAGAUCGCUGAAAGUGCUAAAGAACUAAAGGAUAAAACAGUAACAGAAAUGCAAGAUGCAAAGGAUAAAACAGUAUCUGCUGUUAAAGAUGCAAAGGAUAAAACAAUUGUUACAACGCAAGAUGUCAAAGGAAAAUUAGUUUCUAGCACUAAAGAUGCUAAAGACGGAGCAGUUAGUGGAUUACAGGAUGUUACAGAAAAAGUUGUAGUUGGUGUAAAAGACGUAAAAGAUAAAGUAGAUUCUGCGGUUGUUAAGACGGAAGGAAAAAUUUUAUCCGAUGGAAAGGAAGCUGGUGAUAAAGUAAAAGUAACAGCACAUGAAUUUAAAGAAGGUGCAAAAGAUGUAAAAGAUGCUCUUACAAAAGAAGGUAAAAAAGAUGCUGAAGUAUUAAAGGAUGCUGCUAUUGCUGGAGCUGAUGCUGUUGUGGAUGAUAGUCAGUCAGCAAAAGAUAAAGCAGCAAAAGGAGCAAAGAAAGCUAAAGAGAAAACAUCAGGAUUUUUCUCUGGUAUAUUCAAAGGAGCAAAACAAGCAGUAGAAGAUGUUUCUGGUGAUUUUAAAGAAUUUUUAGAUGAAACUAAAGCCGAAGCUGCAGAAGAAGAAGCGCGUGCAAAAGAAGCAGCUGCUAAAGCUGCAAAAUCUGUAGAUGAUGCUAAGGAUAAAGUCAAGACUGAAGUUAAAGAUCUAAAAGAUAAAACAGUAGAAAAAGUGCAAGAUGCGAAAGAAAAAACAGUAGCUGGUGUUAAAGAUGCAAAAGAUAAAACUGUAACUACAACGCAUGAUAUCAAAGAGAAAAUUGUGACCACUGUUACUGAUGCUACAGGAAAAGCAGCAAGUAAAGCGAGUGACGUUACGGAAAAAGUAGCAACUGGUGCAAAGGAUGUAAAAGAUAAAUCAAAGGAAAAAGUAAAGGAUAUGACGGAGAAAACAGUAGAAGUCAUUAAAGAUGGAAAAGAAAAAACAGCAGCAGUAGCUACGGGUGCAGGAGAAAAAAUAAUCUCUGGUGGAAAAGCAGCUGCUGUUAAGGUAGAAACUGCAGCACACGGAGUUGCUGAUGGUGCCAAACAUGCGAAAGAUGCAGUAGCAAAAGAAUUAAAAGAAGACGCCGAAGUUAUGAAAGGUGCAAUAAGCACUGGCACUGAUACUCUUGUGGACACAGCCAAAUCAGCUAAAGAUAAAACUGCGAAAGAAGCUAAAAAAGCUAAAGACAAGACAUCUGGAUUUUUCACAAGUGUUUUUAAAGGAGCUAAACACUCAGUCGAUGAUAUUUCUGUAGAUGUCAAAGACUUUUUGGACAGGACGAAAGCCGAAGCAGCGGAAGAAGAGGCACGUGCUAAAGAAGAUGCUGCACGAGCUGCUAAAGCUUUAGCAGAAGCAAAAGACAAGACAAUUGCUGGACUUCAAGAUGCUAAAGAGAAGACGGUAACUACUGUUAAAGACGCAAAGGAUAAAACAGUAGCUGCGACGCAAAACAUCAAAGAGAAAGUAGUGUCGGGCACUAAAGAUGCUAAAGACGAAGUCAAAAGUAAGACACAUGAUUUAACGGAUAAAGCAGUAACUGGUGUAAAAGAUGUUAAAGAUAAAACAGUCGAAGGAGUAUCACAUAUUGCUGAGAAAACUACGGAUGGUGUAAAAGAUAUAAAAACUAAAGCAGCUUCCGCAAUUACAGCAACAGGAGACGGUAUUACUUCAGGUGGAAAAAAAGUUGCAGAUAAAAUAAAAACCACAACUCACAGUGUAGCAGAGACUACAAAGGAUGCAAAAGAUGCUGCAGCUAAGGAAAUUAAAAAAGAUGCUGAAGUCGUUAAAGGUGCUGCAAUUGCUGGAGCUGAUGCUGUCGUAGAUAGUGCUCAAUCAGCAAAAGAUAAGGCUGCAAAAGAAACUAAAAAAGCUAAAGAGAAAACAUCUGGAUUUUUCUCUGGUAUAAUUAAGGGUGCUAAACAAGCGGUAGGAGAGGUCACAGAUGAUGUGAAAGAAUUCUUUGAAGAAACCAAAGCCGAAGCUGAAGCUGAAGAGGCGCGUGCAAAGGAAGCUGCAACGCGUUCAGUUAAAAUGGGAAAAGAUUCGAAAGAUAAAACUGUAGAUGCUGUCAAGGAUACAAAAACGAAGGCAGAGGCCGUAGUAUCUGAUGCUGGACACAAAAUUACAAGUGUUACCGCUGCUUCUGAGGAUUAUUUCCUUCCCAGGGAAUCUGAAGAUAGACGAAAAAUAAAUGAACAAUUUGGUGGUAGAACGACCACGAUUAUAAGUAGUAAAAUAAUUUCUCCUGAACAAGGAGUUUCUACACCAGAAGGUUACGGUUUUUCAACAUCUACAUUCGAUCCCAAACCUGGUAUUACCACAGUUAGUUCCAUUGUUAGCAGUGAUCAGGACUUGGUAUCACGGGAUAGAUCGAAAAAGAUUUCGCGCAUUCCACAACGUAUUAGUACUUCUCCGGAUGACAGAACUGAACAGCUAAGUACAAAUUUGGGUUCAGGUAGAGUAGUUGUGAUAUCUAGUGAAUCAGAGCACCUUGAACCUCACACAAGACAAUCCGUCACCACAGUCGUAACAAAGUCUGUGCGGACGGCAGCAACACCACCACCCAGUCUCGCCGAGUUCACUGACAGUAGAAUCGAAGAUGUAACAGAAGAAGCUGCAAGACGAGCACAAAACCUAGUUCAACAAACAUAUUCUGUGACAAAACCAGGGCAUGAUUCGGCUGAGAUUGAUGGGACUGUAGAGAGGCAUGCUACUUCUGCUCCAACAAAGCAACCUGUUCCCGCCCCACGUCAUUUCACCAUCAAGUCGUCCGCCAAAGCUGAUUUUCGUCUAGAUCUUGGAGACGCUUCACGAACACCACAUGGUCUUCAAAUAAAGAAACCAUACGAACGUUCUCCUGAAUCUCCAGAAAAAAGCAGCCCUAAAUCCAAGAUUCCUGUGAAAAUAAGGAAACAGAUGGAAGACGAAGAGAAUCUCAAAAUUAGUAAAACCAUAGAAUCAGAUAUUCGUACCCGAUCAAAGAUGGAAUCUCAUAUUCCUUUGUUAAGAUCAACCGAUGUAGUACGUAUUACGAAAGAUGAAUUGUUAGACAAAGAUCAUAAGACUCUGUCGCAAUUAAAUACCAAUCGUCCUAUCGACGAAGAUAAGGAUAUUAUAGAGACUGAAUAUUUGACGAAGAAGGAAAACAUCGAAAUGUAUCCAUCGAAAGUAUUUGACUCUGAUAAAACUUAUACUACGGUGACAACGAUCGUGUCUUCCUCGGAUCAAACGAUCGAUCCCGACAAAUUAAAAGAAUUCAUGCAAAUGGAUGAAGUAUUGAAGACUGUUAAAACGGUAACUACUACGAUGGAAAUAACAGAUUCCGGAUAUCCUACGGAAGUUGUUAAAAGGGAAACUACUAGAAUCACCGAAGUUUCCCCUGAUCUUAGACAGAUUAGCGAAGAUCAAACUAAUAUAGGAUUAAAUACAAGUAACAAUAGUAGUCAAAGUAUGAAAACAAAUGAAGAUGGAACAUUCAUAGAAAGAGUAACAACGAUAAGGCAUUUUACUGGGCCCUUUUAUUCGGAAAAAUUAAGUCAAUCGAUGUUAGAAUCGAUGAGACCUGGAGAUGAUCGAUCGGAUGAUCCAUUCUUUUCAUCGGACAUGAAGACGUCGGAAUGCGAAAUUGAUAGGGGUUACGUGAAAGCUGGAAAAUCGGAAAGCGAUGAACGUGACACAUGGGCGCAAGCUGCUGCGGCAGAAUACUCCAUUAAUAAUUCGGAGCAAUGGGAAACGCAGCUAUCUUUAGACACGUCACCUGGUUCUGGUAACGGUGACAUUUAUACAAAGAACGAUAGUUCGCGGCACGAAUUGAACAGCGACACAGAUAGUGAUGGUUCACCUCGGCCAAGAAGAAGAUCCCCAUGCAAGAGACGUACUUUGGGCAGUUCUAGCGGGUCGGACGUAGCACUGCACGAAGGUGCAGAACUGUCCCCAUUGGAGGACGACCAAGUGACAGAAACAGACAGUACGGUACGAUCAGUUUGCUCGAGCAUGCAGUGCAGUGUGAUAGAGACGAAGCCUAGGACGAAGACUACCGGUAGGACGAGCUGUGCUUGUUGGAUGAGCGCAGCAGCUGCUGUAUUGAUGGUCCUACUAGCAAUUUUACUUACCGUGGAGCCACGUACAUUCCAACGUGCCAUCUACACUCUCUCUAACAAUAUCCCGAGGCAAGCUGGAAUCUGACUUUUUGCAACAAAGCGAGCCAACUUUUGUAGAGACCACAACGACCGAAGUGGAUCCUUUAACGCAGGAAAGAAUAACAAGAACCGUGCAAGUAGUAACGACGACAACAACGGCACCGAUGACAGGUGGCAUAGCUGUGACGGACGAUUUGCGAGAAUCCAUGCA
rnacentral:misc_RNA from 1 species